rnacentral:rRNA from 1 species
AUUGAACGCUGGCGGCAUGCCUUACACAUGCAAGUCGAACGGUAACAGGUCUUCGGAUGCUGACGAGUGGCGAACGGGUGAGUAAUACAUCGGAACGUGCCCAGACGUGGGGGAUAACGAGGCGAAAGCUUUGCUAAUACCGCAUACGAUCUAAGGAUGAAAGCAGGGGACCGCAAGGCCUUGCGCGUUUGGAGCGGCCGAUGGCAGAUUAGGUAGUUGGUGGGAUAAAAGCUUACCAAGCCGACGAUCUGUAGCUGGUCUGAGAGGACGACCAGCCACACUGGGACUGAGACACGGCCCAGACUCCUACGGGAGGCAGCAGUGGGGAAUAUUGGACAAUGGGCGAAAGCCUGAUCCAGCAAUGCCGCGUGCAGGAUGAAGGCCUUCGGGUUGUAAACUGCUUUUGUACGGAACGAAAAGGCUCUGGCUAAUACCUGGGGCACAUGACGGUACCGUAAGAAUAAGCACCGGCUAACUACGUG